AGAUUGAACGCUAGCGGGAUGCUUUACACAUGCAAGUCGAACGGCAGCGCGGACUUCGGUCUGGCGGCGAGUGGCGAACGGGUGAGUAAUAUAUCGGAACGUGCCCAGUAGCGGGGGAUAACUACGCGAAAGCGUGGCUAAUACCGCAUACGCCCUACGGGGGAAAGGGGGGGAUUCUUCGGAACCUCUCACUAUUGGAGCGGCCGAUAUCAGAUUAGCUAGUUGGUGAGGUAAAGGCUCACCAAGGCGACGAUCUGUAGCUGGUUUGAGAGGACGACCAGCCACACUGGGACUGAGACACGGCCCAGACUCCUACGGGAGCAGCAGUGGGAAUUUGGACAAGUGGGGGAAACCCUGAUCCGAGCCAUCCCGCGUGUGCGA
rnacentral:rRNA from 1 species